rnacentral:rRNA from 1 species
UGGGGAAUAUUGCACAAUGGAGGGAACUCUGAUGCAGCGACGCCGCGUGAACGAAGAAGGCUUUCGAGUCGUAAAGUUCUUUUAUAUGGGAAGAUAAUGACGGUACCAUAAGAAAAAGCCCCGGCUAACUACGUGCCAGCAGCCGCGGUAAUACGUAGCGGGCUAGCGUUUUCCGGAAUCACUGGGCGUAAAGGGUUCGCAGGCGGAAAUGCAAGUCAGGUGUAAAAGGCAGUAGCUUAACUACUGUAAGCAUUUGAAACUGCAUAUCUUGAGAAGAGUAGAGGUAAGUGGAAUUUUUAGUGUAGCGGUGAAAUGCUUAGAUAUUAACAAGAAUACCGGUGGCGAAGGCGACUUACUGGGCUCAUUCUGACGCUGAGGAACGAAAGCGUGGGUAGCAAACAGG